rnacentral:rRNA from 1 species
AAAGCUCGUAGUUGAACCUUGGGCCUGGCUGGCCGGUCCGCCUCACCGCGUGUACUGGUCCGGCCGGGCCUUUCCCUCUGUGGAACCCCAUGCCCUUCACUGGGUGUGGCGGGGAAACAGGACUUUUACUUUGAAAAAAUUAGAGUGCUCCAGGCAGGCCUAUGCUCGAAUACAUUAGCAUGGAAUAAUAGAAUAGGACGUGUGGUUCUAUUUUGUUGGUUUCUAGGACCGCCGUAAUGAUUAAUAGGGACAGUCGGGGGCAUCAGUAUUCAAUUGUCAGAGGUGAAAUUCUUGGAUUUAUUGAAGACUAACUACUGCGAAAGCAUUUGCCAAGGAUGUUUUCAUUAAUCAGGAACGAAAGUUAGGGGAUCGAAGACGAUCAGAUACCGUCGUAGUCUUAACCAUAAACUAUGCCGACUAGGGAUCGGACGAUGUUAUUUUUUGACUCGUUCGGCACCUUACGGGAAAC